CAACCUGCCGAUAACUCUGGAAUAGCCUUUCGAAAGAAAGAUUAAUACCGGAUAGUAUACGAAUAUCGCAUGAUAUUUUUAUUAAAGAAUUUCGGUUAUCGAUGGGGAUGCGUUCCGUUAGUUUGUUGGCGGGGUAACGGCCCACCAAGACUACGAUGGAUAGGGGUUCUGAGAGGAAGGUCCCCCACAUUGGAACUGAGACACGGUCCAAACUCCUACGGGAGGCAGCAGUGAGGAAUAUUGGUCAAUGGGCGAGAGCCUGAACCAGCCAAGUAGCGUGAAGGAUGAAGGCUCUAUGGGUCGUAAACUUCUUUUAUAUGGGAAUAAAGUUUUCCACGUGUGGAAUUUUGUAUGUACCAUAUGAAUAAGGAUCGGCUAACUCCGUGCCAGCAGCCGCGGUAAUACGGAGGAUCCGAGCGUUAUCCGGAUUUAUUGGGUUUAAAGGGAGCGUAGGUGGAUUGUUAAGUCAGUUGUGAAAGUUUGCGGCUCAACCGUAAAAUUGCAGUUGAAACUGGCAGUCUUGAGUACAGUAGAGGUGGGCGGAAUUCGUGGUGUAGCGGUGAAAUGCUUAGAUAUCACGAAGAACUCCGAUUG
rnacentral:rRNA from 1 species